rnacentral:rRNA from 1 species
UCAAAAAAACAAUCUCAGUUCAGACUGUAGGCUGCAACUCGCCUGCACGAAGUCGGAAUUGCUAGUAAUCGUAGGUCAGCAUACUACGGUGAAUACGUUCCCGGGCCUUGUACACACCGCCCGUCAAACCAUGAGAGUUGGCAACACCCGAAGUCGGUAGUCUAACCGCAAGGAGGACGCCGCCGAAGGUGGGGUUGAUGACUGGGGUGAAGUCGUAACAAGGUACC